GCGGGAAUAGCUCAGUGGUAGAGCACACCCUUGCCAAGGUUGGGGUCGCGGGUUCAAAUCCCGUUUCCCGCUCCA
rnacentral:tRNA from 1 species